rnacentral:tRNA from 1 species
GGCCCUUUAGCUCAGAUGGUGAGAGCAGACGACUCAUAAUCGUUUGGUCGUUGGUUCAAAUCCAACAAGGGCCA